rnacentral:rRNA from 1 species
CUUUCUUGAUUCGGUGGGUGGUGGUGCAUGGCCGUUCUUAGUUGGUGGAGCGAUUUGUCUGGUUAAUUCCGAUAACGAACGAGACUCUAGCCUGCUAACUAGGCGAUUUCCGGUACCCACAACAGUGUUACCGGCGAUUCAAUUUCUUCUUAGAGGGACAGGCGGCUCCUAG